rnacentral:tRNA from 1 species
AAGAUUUUAGCUUAAUUAAAGCGUCUGAGUUGCAUUUAGAAGAUGUGGAUUAAUAUUCUACAAGUCUUA